AGGCAGCAGGCACGCAAAUUACCCACUCCCGGCACGGGGAGGUAGUGACAAAAAAWWACGAUACGGGACUCUUAUGAGGCCCCGUAAUCGGAAUGAGUACACUUUAAAUCCUUUAACAAGGAUCCAUUGAAGGGCAAGUCUGGUGCCAGCAGCCGCGGUAAUUCCAGCUUCAAUAGCGUAUAUUAAAGUUGUUGCGGUUAAAAAGCUCGUAGUUGGUUCUGCGUGCCACGCUGUCGGUUCGCCGCCUGCCGGUGUAACUGGCAUGCCGUGGCAUGUCCUGUCGGUGGCGUUCGGGAGCCUCGUUAGGUGCCGGCCCUUGCCCUAAAGCUUGGUGCUCGGAGGCCGGGGGUAUACCCGUUCGCCUAUCUAUCCUACCUAGGUGCUCUUCACCGAGUGUCGAGGUAGGCCGACACGUUUACUUUGAACAAAUUAGAGUGCUCAAAGCAGGCUGAAAUCUCUGCCUGAAUAGUGGUGCAUGGAAUAAUAAAACAGGACCUUGGUUCUAUUUUGUUGGUUCUUAGAGCCUGCGGCUUAAUUUGACUCAACACGGGAAACCUCACCAGGCCAGGACAUUGGAAGGAUUGACAGAUUGAUAGCUCUUUCUUGAUUCAGUGGGUAGUGGUGCAUGGCCGUUCUUAGUUGGUGGAUCGAUUUGUCUGGUUAAUUCCGAUAACGAACGAGACUCUAGCCUAUUAACUAGGCGUUUUCCGGUGCCCCCGUCACCGGCGACAUUCAUUCUUCUUAAGGGGACAGGCGGCUUUUAGCCGCACGAGAUUGAGCAAUAACAGGUCUGUGAUGCCCUUAGAUGUCCUGGGCCGCACGCGCGCUACACUGAAGGAAUCAGCGUGUGCCUCCCUGGCCGAAAGGCCCGGGUAAUCCGCUGAACCUCCUGCGUGCUAGGAAUUGGGGCUUGCAAUUGUUCCCCAUGAACGAGGAAUUCCCAGUAAGCGCGAGUCAUAAGCUCGCGUUGAUUACGUCCCUGCCCUUUGUACACACCGCCCGUCGCUACUACCGAUUGAAUGAUUUAGUGAGGUCUUCGGACUGGCGGUAAUCCCUA
rnacentral:rRNA from 1 species